rnacentral:rRNA from 1 species
CCGAUGCUCAGGUGCAAGAGUGUGGGGAAAAAACGGUAUUAUACCCCGUGGUAGUACACGCAGAAAGAAGAUGUAGACUGGGAUGUUGUUCCUUUGAGGAGUGGCUUCGGGAGAUAACGUGUUAUGUCGACCGCCGGGAGAGUACGGCCGCAAGGUUAAAACUCAAAUGAAUUGACGGGGGCCCGCACAAGGGGUGGAGCAUGUGGUUUAAUUCGAUGCAACGCGAAGAACCUUACCUACUCUUGACAUCCAGAGAAUUUGGCAGAGAUGCCUUAGUGCCUUCGGGAACUGUGAGACAGGUGCUGCAUGGCUGUCGUCAGCUCGUGUUGUGAAAUGUUGGGUUAAGUCCCGCAACGAGCGCAACCCUUAUCCUUUGUUGCCAGCGAUUCGGUCGGGAACUCAAAGGAGACUGCCGGUGAUAAACCGGAGGAAGGUGGGGAUGACGUCAAGUCAUCAUGGCCCUUACGAGUAGGGCUACACACGUGCUACAAUGGCGCAUACAAAGAGAAGCGACCUCGCGAGAGCAAGCGGACCUCAUAAAGUGCGUCGUAGUCCGGAUCGGAGUCUGCAACUCGACUCCGUGAAGUCGGAAUCGCUAGUAAUCGUGGAUCAGAAUGCCACGGUGAAUACGUUCCCGGGCCUUGUACACACCGCAAAGUCACACCAUGGGAGUGGGUUGCAAAAGAAGUAGGUAGCUUAACCUCCGGGAGGGCGCUACUACAU